UACGUAGGGGGCAAGCGUUGUCCGGAAUCAUUGGGCGUAAAGGGUGCGUAGGCGGCGGGGUAAGUCAGGUGUGAAAUCUCGGGGCUCAACCCCGAAACUGCACUUGAUACUGCCUCGCUUGAGUACUGGAGAGGAGACUGGAAUUUACGGUGUAGCAGUGAAAUGCGUAGAUAUCGUAAGGAAGACCAGUGGCGAAGGCGAGUCUCUGGACAGUUACUGACGCUGAGGCACGAAGGCCAGGGGAGCAAACGGG
rnacentral:rRNA from 1 species